rnacentral:rRNA from 1 species
ACAGCAGUAGCCGCGGUAAUACGUAGGGUGCAAGCGUUAAUCGGAAUUACUGGGCGUAAAGCGUGCGCAGGCGGUUUGUUAAGACAGAUGUGAAAUCCCCGGGCUCAACCUGGGAACUGCAUUUGUGACUGGCAGGCUAGAGUGUGGCAGAGGGGGGUGGAAUUCCGCGUGUAGCAGUGAAAUGCGUAGAUAUGCGGAGGAACACCGAUGGCGAAGGCAGCCCCCUGGGCCAACACUGACGCUCAUACACGAAAGCGUGGGGAGCAAACAGGAUUAGAUACCCCAGUAGUCCCUGUCUCUUAUAC